rnacentral:rRNA from 1 species
GAAUCAUUGGGCGUAAAGCGCCUGUAGGUUGUUUAAUAAGUCCGUUGUUAAAGACUAGGGCUUAACCCUAGGAAAGCGAUGGAAACUGAUAGACUUGAGUAUGGCAGGGGUAGAGGGAAUUUCUAGUGUAGCGGUGAAAUGCGUAGAUAUUAGAAAGAACACCGGUGGCGAAAGCGCUCUACUGGACCAUUACUGACACUGAGAGGCGAAAGCUAGGGGAGCGAAAGGGAUUAGAUACCCCUGUAGUCCUAGCCGUAAACGAUGGAUACUAGAUGUUGUGCAAUUUGGACAGUAUCGUAGCUAACGCGUUAAGUAUCCCGCCUGGGGAGUACGCUCGCAAGGGUGAAACUCAAAGGAAUUGACGGGGGCCCGCACAAGCGGUGGAGCAUGUGGUUUAAUUCGAUGCAACGCGAAGAACCUUACCAGGGCUUGACAUACUACAGAUCUUUUUGAGAAAGAAGAGUGCCUUCGGGAAUGUAGAUACAGGUGGUGCAUGGCUGUCGUCAGCUCGUGUCGUGAGAUGUUGGGUUAAGUCCCGCAACGAGCGCAACCUUCGUUUUUAGUUGCCAAUUUAUUGGGAUCUCUAGAAAGACUGCCGGUGACAAACCGGAGGAAGGUGAGG